rnacentral:tRNA from 1 species
GGUGGCUCAGUGGUAGAGUGCUUGCCUUCCAUGCAUGAGAUACUGGUUCGAUUCAUCAGUACCA